rnacentral:lncRNA from 1 species
UUUAAUAUUAAGACCAUAUCAGUAUUUGUAAGUCAUGCUAGACUAAUUGCUGUUAUGGCUUUCCGGGUUUAUAUGAGCCUUUUAAUGUCUGAUUUGUAUACCUUUAUAUGCUAUUUGUUUUGAUUGAUGCUUAGUAUUUUGCCUUUGAAAACUCAAUAUAUUUCCUAUCUUUCUCUCCCCCUCUCUUAAGAUUAGAAGUCCUAAUACCACAGGACUAAUAGGUUGGGACAUGUACUAGCAUGCGAUAAGUAAACAAGAACAAACACGUUUAAUACCAUAACGGGGUGGGAAGGGUAGAAUAUGGAGAUAAUGACGAUGCGAUAAUAUCAUAAUGCGAUCCCUCUUUGGGAAUACGUGCGGGAUACUGUAUCGAAUGAUCCAUAUUAUAAUCAAAUCUAGGACCUCUUUCUCUUUUGCUUGCUUUAUUUAAUAGUUUUUUUCUCUCUAAAAGUUAUGCUUUUCAUAUUAACUCUCCCUUAUGCUUUUGUUUAAAUUAUGCCUUUCCCCUCUUCAAAAUUCUCAAGUGGUUCGAAUGCUUAUAUGCGAACCUUACUUGUUUAUUUGCCUUGUUUCUGAUUAAAGUCACAAUUAGCACGACCGGGAACCACACUAGUGGAUCUUGAGGGGUGCCUAAC